AUGCAUACAAACAUUAUCAUGCUCUUUCCUGGAAGACCUCAGCAAUGGAUAUGGAUGAUGAUGAGCAAGAAUAACAGCAUCUUCACCUUGUUGAAGUUUUCGGGAUGGAAGCAUGGUCAGUUCCCUGAGGGAGAAGAGCAGAAUGCUGUAGACAGACAAGGCAGACUUUAUUGGCAACACAAAAUACUUCCUAGAAGGAGAUGGUCUCUUUGAGAAAUAAUUUCAUUUGAAAGCUAUCACUGAAGCAUGCUACUGGUUGCUGUUCUUUAUCUGCUGAAGAACUGGUCCUGUGGAUAUCAAC
rnacentral:lncRNA from 1 species